rnacentral:rRNA from 1 species
UGGGGAAUUUUCCGCAAUGGGCGAAAGCCUGACGGAGCAAUGCCGCGUGGAGGUGGAAGGCCUACGGGUCGUCAACUUCUUUUCUCGGAGAAGAAACAAUGACGGUAUCUGAGGAAUAAGCAUCGGCUAACACUGUGCCAA